GGGUGGGAUCAUACUAACAUUAAUGCACCAGAUCCAUUAGAACUUCGAAAUUAAACGUGUUUGGGCCUUAGAUGAGAGCAGUACUAAAAUGUGUGUCUUUUUGGGAAGUCCUCGUGUUGCACCCU
rnacentral:rRNA from 1 species